rnacentral:rRNA from 1 species
GACGUAGGGCGCGAGCGUUGUCCGGAUUUAUUGGGCGUAAAGAGCUCGUAGGCGGCUUGUCGCGUCGACCGUGAAAACUUGGGGCUCAACCCCAAGCCUGCGGUCGAUACGGGCAGGCUAGAGUUCGGUAGGGGAGACUGGAAUUCCUGGUGUAGCGGUGAAAUGCGCAGAUAUCAGGAGGAACACCUGCGGCGAAGGCGGGUUGCUGGGCUGACACUGACGCUGAACUGCGAAAGCUAGGGGAGCGAACGGG